GUUGAAGCGCGGGUAAGACCGCGUGGAGGACCGAACCCACUAAUGUUGAAAAAUUAGGGGAUGAGCUGUGUGUAGGGGUGAAAGGCCAAUCAAACUUCGUGAUAGCUGGUUCUCUCCGAAAUGCAUUUAGGUGCAGCGUCACGUGUUUCUUACCGGAGGUAGAGCUACUGGAUGGUCGAGGGGGCCUACAAGCUUACCAACAUCAGCCAAACUCCGAAUACCGGUAAGUGAGAGCGCAGCAGUGAGACUGUGGGGGAUAAGCUUCAUGGUCGAGAGGGAAACAACCCAGAAUAGCAACUAAGGUCCCAAAGCCUGUGCUAAGUGGAAAAGGAUGUGAAGUCGCAUAGACAACCAGGAGGUUGGCUUAGAAGCAGCCACCCUUAAAAGAGUGCGUAAUAGCUCACUGGUCAAGUGAUUUCGCGCCGACAAUGUAACGGGGCUCAAGCACAGCACCGAAGUUCUAUCAUUCACACAUUAUCCCGGUCGCAAGAUCCAGGAGUGUGGAUGGGUAGGAGAGCGUUGUGUAACUAGUGAAGCGGCGGAGGAAUCCAGCCGUGGAAGCCACACAAGUGAGAAUGUAGACAUGAGUAGCGAGAGAAGUGUGAGAAACAUUUCCGCCGAAAGACCAAGGGUUCCUGGGCCAGGCUAAUCCGCCCAGGGUAAGUCGGGACCUAAGGCGAGGCCGACAGGCGUAGUCGAUGGACAACUGGUUGAUAUUCCAGUACCCGCAAUAAACCGUCCAUGACGAAUCAAUAAUGCUAAGUGUUUGAAGUUGGCUAGCAAUAGCUGAUGGAGCGCACGACCCAAGUUGGUAGUAGUCAAGCAAUGGAGAGACGCAGGAAGGUAGUCCAACCCAGGCGAUGGUUGACCUGGGGUAAGAGUGUAGGAGGUUCUGUAGGAAAAUCCGCAGAACAAUCUCUGAGACUUGAUGCCGAGCCGUAAGGCGAAGUGGAUGAUCCUAUGCUGCCAAGAAAAUCUUCUAGCGAGGUUUGUAGUGGCCCGUACCCGAAACCGACACAGGUGGUCAGGUAGAGAAUACCAAGGUGAUCGAGAGAAUCGUGGUGAAGGAACUCGGCAAAAUACCCCCGUAACUUCGGGAGAAGGGGGGCUAAUUUUUGUGUAGAGGUUUUCCUUCGAAGCAUAAGUUAGACGCAGAGAAUAGGCUCAAGCGACUGUUUACCAAAAACACAGGUCCGUGCGAAGUUGCAAAACGAUGUAUACGGACUGACGCCUGCCCGGUGCUGGAAGGUUAAGGGGACUGGUUAGCCGCAAGGCGAAGCUGAGAACUUAAGCCCCAGUAAACGGCGGUGGUAACUAUAACCAUCCUAAGGUAGCGAAAUUCCUUGUCGGGUAAGUUCCGACCUGCACGAAUGGCGUAACGACUUGAGCGCUGUCUCAUCCGUGAACUCGGCGAAAUUGCAUUACGAGUAAAGAUGCUCGUUACGCGCAGAAAGACGGAAAGACCCCGGGACCUUUACUAUAUCUUGAUAUUGGUGUUCGGAACGGUUUGUGUAGCAUAGGUGGGAGACUUUGAAGCGGGCACGCCAGUGUUUGUGGAGUCAUCGUUGAAAUACCACUCUGAUCGUUUUGAACUUCUAACCUCGGUCCGUAAUCCGGAUCAGGGACAGUGUCUGGUGGGUAGUUUGACUGGGGCGGUCGCCUCCUAAAAAGUAACGGAGGCGCUCAAAGGUUCCCUCAACCUGGUUGGUAAUCAGGUGUCGAGUGUAAGUGCACAAGGGAGCUUAACUGUGAGACAGACAUGUCGAGCAGGUGCGAAAGCAGGAACUAGUGAUCCGGCGGUGGCUUGUGGAAGCGCCGUCGCUCAACGGAUAAAAGGUACCCCGGGGAUAACAGGCUGAUCUUGCCCAAGAGUCCAUAUCGACGGCAAGGUUUGGCACCUCGAUGUCGGCUCGUCUCAUCCUGGGGCUGGAGUAGGUCCCAAGGGUUGGGCUGUUCGCCCAUUAAAGAGGCACGCGAGCUGGGUUCAGAACGUCGUGAGACAGUUCGGUCCCUAUCUUCUGUGCGCGCAGGAAACUUGAGAAGGCCUAACCCUAGUACGAGAGGACCGGGUUGGACGAACCUCUGGUGUGUCGGUUGUUCCGCCAGGAGCACCGCCGAUUAGCUACGUUCGGAAGGGAUAACCGCUGAAAGCAUCUAAGCGGGAAGCUCGCUUCGAGAUUAGGUUUCCCACUGGUUUACCAGGUAAGGCCCCCAGCUAGACGACUGGGUUGA
rnacentral:rRNA from 1 species